UACGGGGGGAGCAAGCGUUGUUCGGAUUUACUGGGCGUAAAGGGCGCGUAGGCGGCGCAACAAGUCACUUGUGAAAUCUCCGGGCUUAACCCGGAGCGGCCAAGUGAUACUGUCGUGCUAGAGUGCGGAAGGGGCUACUGGAAUUCUCGGUGUAGCGGUGAAAUGCGUAGAUAUCAGGAAGAACACCCGUGGCGAAGGCGGCUCUCUGGGACGGUACUGACGCUGAGACGCGAAAGCGUGGGGAGCGAACAGG
rnacentral:rRNA from 1 species